UUACAAAAACUGAAAGGUAUUUCCAAUUUUUUUGAUUAUGUUAAAUUCACUGAUGUGAGCUGCGAUAAAUCAUAUAAAGUGGAAUUACGGUGUAGUGAAGGAACACUUCCUGUAUUAACUGUAAAAACCCGGCCGGUUGACCCCAACCGUAAAAAUCACUCUGAGGUCAGAACAAGUCAAGUCAGAGGCUGGCUGCGUGAAAAGUGGAGAAGUAGCUUAUUGACUAUCCAUCGAAGAACUGUAGUUGUUUUCCAAGCAUUUUUCGACGAUCACGACUGAGGAAGACUACGAAAAAUGACGGAGCACAAAAUCGAAAUAAGAGGGCACAUGCUCUUAGAAAAUUCUUUGAUGGUGCGCUUAGGCCACUACGUAGCGCGGACAAGAUAAGGAACUACCUUUAGGUGGGAAAGAAAUGGGAAUGGUAAAGAAGUUUUGGGGUUCAGUGUUUCCGGAAGUAAGAUUUUCAACCAGUUAAAGAUUGUAAGAAGGCGGAAGGAGGAGUUGCGAGGGAAGAAGAUCAUCCUGCUUACAGGAACAAACGAUGUUAUGACAAACAACCGGUACAAAUGGAGGUAUCUAAAAUUUACAAACGUAGUAAAGUUCCUGGAGAGUAUUGAUUGUGAGGUAGUGUUGAUGACACUGCCUCCAAUCCCAGUUCUUUGUGAGGAAGAUGAGAGGACUGGCCUUCUGAUGAAGUUCAAUGAACUCAUUAGGCACACUGCAGAAAUUACGCCUGAUUGAUGUCUACCAACUUUUCAUGGAUGGGUCAGUCAUCAAAGAAACAUUGUUUGAAAACUUCUACUACAAUAAGAGAAUCGACAAGCUCCACUGGAACCGCGAGGUCGUCAGAAAAAUUGAAACAGAAUUAUGAAAUAAUUUUUGAGAUCAGACAUCAUCGACGCUUCUGGCAGCAGGUAACCUUCAACGUGGUAACGUUACUAUUAUUUGGUAGUGUUUUCUUAUUCCUCUUCUCAGACAAAGGCCUUUAAAAGCCGGAUAGUUCUACUUAAAUUUAGUUACAGACAAAGCCUUAUAAGAUCGGAUUGUUAGCAUAGUAUAUGUUAAGUUUUUUGACAGACCUAGUGAAAGCUAGGUUCCACAGUUUCUAUAUGCCACUCACUAUGUAAAAAGUUUAAAGCAAAUAAUUUAGUGCCUUAUUCAUAAUCAUGAAGACAGCCAGCUAGGCUGGCGAUAAGACAAAGAGGUUUAUUAUAACCUCUGCUUUAAAUUCAUU